UGAUCCCAUGCCGAACUCAGCAGUGAAACCGCUUAGCGCCGAUGGUAGUGUGGGGUCUCCCCAUGCGAGAGUAGGUCAUCGUCAGGC
rnacentral:rRNA from 1 species